rnacentral:lncRNA from 1 species
CACCCGUUUUACAGUAAUCACAAGCAACAUAUAUCAACGUAUAUAAUAUCAUAAGCUAACAAAUAACUUAAUAUAGUGUAACUUUUAAAUGGAAUACAACAAGAUAUCAUUUCUUCUGCAAUUUUGAUAUAUAUCAGGUGUAUCCAAAUGAGUAUUACUGACAGAUAUGAUACUGAUCGAUACUGUAUAUAAUAUAAGAAACAUGCUUGUAUUACCAGCCAUCGGGAACACAUAUGCAAUAAUGAACAAUGAUUUUUAUAUUACCCAUGCAUGCAUACACUGAAAAAAGCCCAAUCAGUGAUUUCAUACAUGCACGUAUUAUAGCACUCAGAUCAAUUGUUGUAAAGCCGUCAGUGUUCAUUAAUAUAUCUGUAUUCUCGAUAGCGGGUUCUACUUCGUAAAAUAUAAGAGCAUUCCUUAUUAAAAAAGUAUUUUUCGACACUAAAAGAAUACUGUCGACUUAUUUAAUCCGAUAAGUGAAAUGAGACAUCAAAAUGUAUUUGCAUUGCAAUCAAUUCAGAUUAAAAUUACAUCAAAUAUAAAAUGUUAAAGCUUUAUCUCCGUAAAAAUAUUUCGGUGCGUAUCCUGAUUAACUAACAGCACUCUUUAAACAUUUAACUUCUCUAGUUUCUAUUAAUCGCAAUUAACACGUACAUGUAAGGGUACUUCAUUUUUCUUUCUGACGUGUCGUGUGUUUACAUGAUGGAAAUGUCCGAUGUGAUCUGAUAAAAUUAACAAUCACGUGUAAUUAUUCUAAUAUCAUCGUAACCUAAUUAAUAAAUAUCCAAUUAUGAUUAAUUUCUUCCAAGAAUACCGGAAACAGUUCAUAUAUCAAGACUGUUUAUUCAGCCUCUAACUGCGUAUCACGUGAUAAGAUCAAUACAGCAUAGUCUGAUAGCAAAAAUAUCCCGUUUGCUUAUUAUAGUCUAGGAGUUUUAAAUGUAGAUUUGAGUAGCAAUAAUCAUAAUUUGUUUCUUUCUUAAAGUACUUUUAAAAAA